AAACUAAUAUUUUCUGAAACACAGCGUUUUUUUUUUUUUUUUACCAAAACCUUGGUAUCCUGUGGGCCCACGUUUGUAGUAAUCUUAUCAAUAUCUAGAAAAAUAACAGCGUUCUCGAUCAAGUGCAGCUUUAAAACAUGUUACUGGGUUCAGCUCGUAGGCCCACUCUUCAAUUGACCCAUAGAACCCUUUGCCCUUUGCCCUUUGCCCUUGUGGAGAUCUGAGAAGAUUGGACGGGUCUAAUCAACUAACUACUACCAUAUUGCUUACAUCUGUCAAAUCAUCUCAGAUCUCCACAAGGAAGUGGGUUCUAGGAGUCGAUCAUAGGUCGUAGGGUCUAGGGGUCGAUCAUAGGCCGUAGGGUCUAGGGGUCGAUCAUAGGCCGUAGGGUCUAGGGGUCGAUCAUAGGCCGUAGGGUCUAGGGGUCGAUCAUAGGCCGUAGGGUCUAGGGGUCGAUCAUAGGCCGUAGGGUCUAGGGGUCGAUCAUAGGCCGUAGGGUCUAGGGGUCAAUCAUAGGCCGUAGGGUCUAGGGGUCGAUCAUAGGCCGUAGGGUCUAGGGGUCGAUCAUAGGCCGUAGGGUCUAGGGGUCGAUCAUAGGCCGUAGGGUCUAGGGGUCGAUCAUAGGCCGUAGGGUCUAGGGGUCGAUCAUAGGCCGUAGGGUCUAGGGGUCGAUCACAGGCCGUAGGGUCUAGGGGUCGAUCAUAGGUCGUAAGGUCUAGGGGUCGAUCAUAGGCCGUAGGGUCUAGGGGUCGAUCAUAGGCCGCAGGGUCUAGGGGUCGAUCACAGGCCGUAGGGUCUAGGGGUCGAUCAUAGGUCUAGGGGUCGAUCAUAGGCCGUAGGGUCUAGGGGUCAUAGUUUGAUGCAUCUGUAGUAAACUCAGUGUAAGACUUUAGGACAAAAGUAAUAACAUUAAUAAUAAUAAUAAUACAUUGUGUUGAAUGGAAACGUUUCCCCUAUGAUACAGACAAGAUAGGAAACAAGUCAAUACGGACAGCAUCAUAUGAUCAUUCAUAACCAUUCAUAAGGUUGACAUAGGAGCUGACAUAAGAUGUAAUGCCUAGCAGUGACAUGUUAACACUCAUAUAGGCAUUAUAAAAGGCAUUGACAUAGGAGCUGCCAUAAGAUGUAAUGCCUAGCAGUGACAUGUUAACACUCAUUCAUAACCAUUCAUA